rnacentral:tRNA from 1 species
GGGCGUGUAACUCAGUGGUAGAGUGUUCGCUUUGCAACAGCCAAUAUGCGAAAAGUCCGGCGUUCGAUCCGCCGCUCGUCCA